AGAGUUUGAUCAUGGCUCAGGACGAACGCUGGCGGCGUGCCUAAUACAUGCAAGUCGAACGAGAAUUUCUUACAUCGAGUGCUUGCACUCACCGUAAGAAAUUCGAGUGGCGGACGGGUGAGUAACACGUGGGUAACCUGCCCAAAAGAAGGGGAUAACAUUUGGAAACAAAUGCUAAUACCGUAUAACCAUGAUGACCGCAUGGUCAUUAUGUAAAAGGUGGUUCUGCUAUCGCUUUUGGAUGGACCCGCGGCGUAUUAACUAGUUGGUAGGGUAACGGCCUACCAAGGUGAUGAUACGUAGCCGAGUUGAGAGACUGAUCGGCCACAAUGGGACUGAGACACGGCCCAUACUCCUACGGGAGGCAGCAGUAGGGAAUCUUCCACAAUGGGCGCAAGCCUGAUGGAGCAACGCCGCGUGAAUGAAGAAGGUCUUCGGAUCGUAAAAUUCUGUUGUUAGAGAAGAAUAUGAGUAAUAGUAACUGAUUAUUCACUGACGGUAUCUAACCAGCAAGUCACGGCUAACUACGUGCCAGCAGCCGCGGUAAUACGUAGGUGGCAAGCGUUGUCCGGAUUUAUUGGGCGUAAAGGGAACGCAGGCGG
rnacentral:rRNA from 1 species